GACGAACGCUGGCGGCGUGCUUAACACAUGCAAGUCGAACGGAAAGACCCUGCGUUUGUGCGGUGCUCGAUUGGCGAACGGGUGAGUGACACGUGAGUAACCUGCCCUUGACUUUGGGAUAACUUCAGGAAACUGGGGCUAAUACAGGAUAGGAGAUCCUGCUGCGUGGUGUGGGUUGGAAAGUUUCGGCUGUUGUGGAUGGACUCGCGGCUUACGCGCUAGUUGGUGGGGUAGUGGAUUACCAAGGCUGUGACGGGUAGGCGGCCUGAGAAGGUGAACGGCGACAAGAGGCCUACGGUAGGCCGCAGUCGGGAAUGUGAGGCAGCAGGCGGGAACAUGACACAGUGAGCGCGAGUCUGAGACAGAGGCCUUCCGUGCGUGAUGACGGCUUUUGGGGUGAGAACAGCUGUCGCCUGUGACGAAGCGUGAGUGACGGUAACUAGUAAAGAAGCACCGGCUAACUACGUG
rnacentral:rRNA from 1 species